UCACUUUUGUAACAUUUUUUGAAUUUUUCUAAAAUAUUACUUAAUACGGUCCUCCUUCGUCACGUGGACACACGAUUCCUCAACGGUCCAUGCAUGAUCUCCCGCGAAAACAAUUAAUCGCGGCGGCUGUGUCUUGUGUUACCUCGGGGCAACAUGGCGUCGGUUUUUGGUUUUUUGUUAAAAUUGCAAAUUUGGGUGGAUUUUUGUGUCAAUUAUUAAAAAUUUUUAACGCUCGGUAUAAUCUAAUUGCUAUAGUGUUGUUUGUUUGUGUUGUAGCAGAGAUUUUCGGAGAAAUCAAGUGGAUGAUUGAAGAUGCAUCAGAAAGGAUCUGGGACAAACCUAAGUGGAUAAUCGAUGAUUAUGUCAGUGAGGGGAUGGGAUGGAACACACAAGCCGAUUAACGUAAUAAUAAAUUUUAUAAUUGUUGAGUACAAAAC